rnacentral:rRNA from 1 species
AGCAACAAAUGCCCUGCUUCCAGGAAAAGCCUCUAAGCAUCAGGUAACAUCAAAUCGUACCCCAAACCGACACAGGUGGUCAGGUAGAGAAUACCAAGGCGCUUGAGAGAACUCGGGUGAAGGAACUAGGCAAAAUGGUGCCGUAACUUCGGGAGAAGGCACGCUGACACGUAGGUGAAGUGAUUUACUCAUGGAGCUGAAGUCAGUCGAAGAUACCAGCUGGCUGCAACUGUUUAUUAAAAACACAGCACUGUGCAAACACGAAAGUGGACGUAUACGGUGUGACGCCUGCCCGGUGCCGGAAGGUUAAUUGAUGGGGU